rnacentral:tRNA from 1 species
UAGAAUGUGGAGUAAAGGAAGCACAAAGAGUUUUGAGUUCUUGGCUAUAGGUUCAAUUCCUAUUAUUCUAG